UAAAUUGCUGUGGUAUUUUAACUAUACGAAGGUAUUGAAAUAAGGCUUUAAAUGGGUGCUAAGAGAAUGGUUUAACGAAGAUAGACUUUUUUCUUUUUUUUAUUAAAAGUUGAUUUAAAAAUGAAGAGGUUUUUAUAGAAAUUUGGGACAAGAAGACCCUAUGAAUUUUGAUAUAAGAUUUUUUAAUUAAAUUUUCUAAUAAAUUUUAAAUUUUUCUUUUAUUUGAUUGGGGUGAUUUUUAAAGAUUCAGAAUCUUUAAAGUUUUAUUAAAUGGAUCCAUUAAUAGUGAUUUGUUGAAUAAAAUACUCUAGGGAUAACAGCGUUAUUAUUUUGGAUAGUUCAUAUAGAUAAAAUAGUUUGCGACCUCGAUGUUGGAUUAAGAUACUCUUGGAGUGUAGAAGCUUCAAAAAUAGGAGAAGUUUGCUCAACUUUUAAAUUCUUACUUGAU
rnacentral:rRNA from 1 species